rnacentral:lncRNA from 1 species
CCCGGCCCACUUUUAAUUUUUUUAGCUUUUAAAUGUUUUGUAGAGACGGGUGUCUCACUGUGUUGCUCAGGCUGGUCUCAAAUUCCUGGGCUCAAGUGAUCCUCCCACCUCGGGUUCCCAAAGUGCUGGGAUGACAGGCGUGAGCCCCAGGCCCAGCUGAGUUUGCCACUUUCUAAAUGAGGCUGUGUGCUGUGCAGUAUUAAGAGUUUCCAUCCCUUUGAUUUUUCACUGGGAAAAUCUAGAAAUUGUGAGCUCUGGGGAUGAGGUGAACUUGGCAUGGAGCUCCGCCAGCCCCUACAGGAGGCACCCAGAUGCCAGACUCUGCUUCCCAUGCCUGUGCAGACACAAAGCUGUGGUUCACGGGGAGCUGCUUUUCACGCGUUUGCGCCUUCAAACGUGGGGAGUGUUGUUAGCUCGGAUUUAUUCAUUCUCGAACAAAUAUCUAUUAAACAUCCCCCAAGCUGAGGAAACUGAGAUUCAAGGAGUUGGGAGACCUCACCCACAGUCACGUGGAUCCUAACUGGCUGAGAUGAGUUUUGGGCUCCUGCUGGGCUGUUGGGACCCAGAGGUCCGCGACAAGGUCAUCCAGGUCUCAGGUUGGUCCCUGUACCUUUAUCUCAUCCCCCUCCUCUGCAUUCCCGAAACCCUUCCCAGGACAGCUCCCCUGCCCACCCCGCCCUUGCCCUCACCUUUUCCAUGAGGGACUCCACAGCAUGGCGGGUCACCCAGCAGCGGCCCCCGGACACCUCUCCCUCCUGGAUGAUGUCCCCUCUCUGGCUCCAGGCCUCAUACUCCUCCUGGCUCAAGUACUCUGCAGGUGACAUUGGACGGGGCCAUCAUAUACCAGCUGUGUGGGGGUCUGGGGGAGUCCCAUGGUAAACACCCCUGUCCCCGUGAACCCCGCCAGCACUGGGAGGAGCUCUUCUUAGGGUGUCCACUUUACAAACCUGACCCUGCACGCCCCGCUCUGUGCCCUGCACCUCCAUCCUGAACUAUCUGGACACAGCAGGUGAGUGUGGGAAUGUGCGUGGUGGGGGAGGGAAGGAGGAGGGAGGAAGGGGAGGAGGGAGGGAGGGAAGGUGGGAGGGGUAGAGGGAUUCCCAGGCAACAGCAUACCUGCCAGGCACUUCUUAAACCCUUGGAGGAGGCACAGUUUCUCCCUCAGGAUCUUCCCAACCGCCCUGGGCACGAAGAGCACAGGCCGGGGCCGGGCGGGUCGAUGGGGCCGCACCAGGGUAUAGGGCACCAGGGUGAGGCAGCUCUCGGCCCAGAAGCACGUGCUGGAGCCUGUGGAGGAGAGGAUCCUGAGGGCUGGAGUGCAAUGGCGACACCUCAGCUCACUGCCACUUCUGCCUCCCGGGUUCAGGCGAUUUUCCUGCCUCAGCCUCCCGAGUAUCUGGGAUUACAGGUGUGCGCCACCACACCCAGCCCCAUGAUUCUUGAAGACCAGAUCCUGGCCUAAAUGAGUGGCAUCCCCCUGCCCCAGCUGACCAACUAGCAGCAGCUCCCAAAGCCCCUCACCCGCUUGGAGCCAGCGGCCCCUGUGCCAGCUCACCAGGCCUCACCCUCCAUCCUGCUGGGGUCCAACUGGCCCCUGUCAAAGGACAAACGCAGAGGGCUGGCCUUGGCUUUGUCCAUACUGACGAUGCGGACCAGCUUCUGUGGUCCCCCAGAAGAUGGCUAAAGGAGGGACGGAGAAAGGAUGAGGAGGAGCUGUUGAAGCCAUCAACAGGAAUGGGAAUUCAGGGGAGAUGAUUGGCACUAGGGCGACCUGGGAGUGAUGCAGAGGCGCAGAUGCUCUGAGAACAGCCUGAGGUGUGUCUGCACUUGUGCAAGAGCCUGCAGGCUGGGCAGGGGCUGCAGACCCUGCCCUGGUUUGAAGGGGCGCAGAGGAGAGACAGGUGGGGUUACCGUCCAAUCAGCAGCCCACUCUCCACACAGUGCCUCCUGCCACCCUGCCAGCACCGAGCCCCUCUUCCAGCCCACCCCAGUGGGGUCCAGGCCCCUCCCUGGAGCCUCACCUUGCGGGUCACGGUGCACUGCUGAGUCAUGUCCUGGAUGAGGGCUAUGAGCUGCUGCUGAGCCCUGCAGAGACCAGCAGAGGCCCUGACCCAGCUGCCUCCUGCCAGACAGGCAGCAGAAGCCGUCCACCCUCCUGAGAAGCCCCACGGCCUCCUCCAGGGUCGUGUCCUCCAGGACUGCCUUGAACAAGGGCUCUGAGGCUUCGUAAUCAACCUGAGGGCAAGUCGAGAAGGUCAGUCUCUUUCUCCCGGGACUCUGAAUCCAGCCAGAAGGCAGAGGGCGCUGAGGGCACUGAGGCGAAGCGCGGGCCAGCCCUGCAGUAGGACCACUGCCUGCACGCCUUGGUCAAAACAAAGUCACACACGAGAGCCUCUGUGGGGCCUUCACACCUCUAGUGAUGCGUGCUACACAUGGUGCUGG